GACGAACGCUGGCGGCGUGCCUAAUACAUGCAAGUUGAGCGCUGAAGGUUGGUACUUGUACCAAAUGGAUGAGCAGCGAACGGGUGAGUAACGCGUGGGGAAUCUGCCUUUGAGCGGGGGACAACAUUUGGAAACGAAUGCUAAUACCGCAUAAAAACUUUAAACACAAGUUUUAAGUUUGAAAGAUGCAAUUGCUUCACUCAAAGAUGAUCCCGCGUUGUAUUAGCUAGUUGGUGAGGUAAAGGCUCACCAAGGCGAUGAUACAUAGCCUACCUGGGAGGGUGAUCGGCCACAUUGGGACUGGGACACGGCCCAAACUCCUACGGGAGGCAGCAGUAGGGAAUCUUCGGCAAUGGACGAAAGUCUGACCGAGCAACGCCGCGUGGGUGAAGAAGGUUUUCGGAUCGUAAAACUCUGUUGGUAGAGAAGAAAGUUGGUGAGAGUGGAAAGCUCAUCAAGUGACGGUAACUACACAGAAAGGGACGGCUAACUACGUG
rnacentral:rRNA from 1 species